CGAUUGACUCCAUGGGACGGCUAUCUGGGUUAAGUCCAUUCGUGUGGUUGAAUCUCCCGAACGGCUGGCAUUCGUAUACUUUUGUCGAUUGAGAAGGGGAGGUUGACGGCUUCAGCGGUGUUCGGCUGAAAAAGUGUCCGUUUUCAGAUCCAUGAAAUAAUCGUCGAACACCGCUGGUCGUUCGCAUGGAAAAAAUGGCCGCCGUCUCGUGGUCGACAUACGAACGACGACCACCCGGCAUUCGGUUUUAAUUGAGAAGUGUGUGUGGUUAACCGCAACGUUCUAAUUGGGAUCAAUAGGUUAACCAGCAGCACACUUCUCUUCUGGGUGGCCGUCCGUUCGGUAGUUCCGUUCGACAAAACCGACAUUCCCUUGAAUAAAGCAUACGAAUGGGGAAAUUCAUGUAACCGGCAAAACAGGCGAACCAAGCAUUUGUAAUCCAGACAGAUGGGUCUGUCACAGUGCUCUUGUCAAGUGUGUUUCGCCAUGCACUCCCCUUUUCCCUGUAAAGAAAAAGCCUGAAAAGGACUGCCUGAUCAACCGCAUGGUCCAAGAUCUACGUGCUGUUAAUGAUGUCACGGUUAAAGACACAGCUGUGGUUCCUAAUCCACAUACAUUAUCUCAAGUUCCACCCUCAGCCACCAUCUUUACUGUAGUAGACCUUGCUAAUGCAUUUUUCAGUGUACCUCUGGACAAAUCUUGCCAAUACCUGCCAUGUCUAUGGUACUGGAACCCUGGCAAAAGUCUCACACUGAUGUGGUCUUGCUCCAAUACGUUGAUGAUUUACUUCUCUGUGCUACCGACCUUCCUACUGCUGAACGAGUCUCUGAAGACCUUCUUGGCUGAAGAAGGAUGCAAGGCCUCUAAGUCUAAACUCCAGUGGUGCCAGCCCUCAGUGGUCUUCUUGGGACAUUGCCUCUCCCAUGGCAUCCGCCACCCUACUAAGGAUAGGGUUCUUGCCAUCUUGAAUCUACCAGUACCCUCUGCGCAUCAGUACUUGCCUUCUUAGGCCUCAUCCCGUAUUGCAGAUCCUGGAUCCCCAAAGCUUCUCACCUUAUGCAACCGUUGUAUGAUGCUCUGAAGAGCGAACCCUUCACACUCUCACCCCAUGCCCUAACCUGUUUCAAUGCUCUGAAGAAAGCCAUUAAUUCUGCACCUGCCUUGGGACUACCAAAUUAUCAAUUACCCUUCAAGUUGUUCGUGUUUGAAAAACAAGGCCAUGCCUCUGGAGUUCUUACUCAACAACAUGUUAUGAGACAAAGACCCAUUGGCUAUUUCUCCUGUAUGCUUGAUCCUGUUGCCAGAGGUAGUCCCUCCUGCCUGAGGGCCGUGUUCGCUGCCAG